UACGGGGGGGGGUAAGCGUUUGUUCGGAAUUACUGGGCGUAAAGGGCUCGUAGGCGGCCAACUAAGUCAGACGUGAAAUCCCUCAGCUUAACUGGGGAACUGCGUCUGAUACUGGAUGGCUUGGAUCCGGAAGAGGGAUGCGGAAUUCUCGGUGUAGAGGUGAAAUUCGUAGAUAUCGAGAGGAACAUCGGUGGCGAAGGCGGCCUUCUGGACGGUGACUGACGCUGAGAUGCGAAAGCGUGGGGAGCAAACAGG
rnacentral:rRNA from 1 species